rnacentral:rRNA from 1 species
CCUACGGGUGGCAGCAGUGAGGAAUAUUGGUCAAUGGACGCAAGUCUGAACCAGCCAUGCCGCGUGCAGGAAGACGGCUCUAUGAGUUGUAAACUGCUUUUGUACGAGGGUAAACGCAGAUACGCGUAUCUGUCUGAAAGUAUCGGACGAAUAAGGAUCGGCUAACUCCGUGCCAGCAGCCGCGGUAAUACGGAGGAUUCAAGCGUUAUCCGGAUUUAUUGGGUUUAAAGGGUGCGUAGGCGGUCGGAUAAGUUAGAGGUGAAAUCCCGGGGCUCAACUUCGGAAUUGCCUUGGAUACUGGUCGGCUAGAGAGUAGUUGCGGUAGGCGGAAUGUAUGGUGUAGCGGUGAAAUGCUUAGAGAUCGUACAGAACACCGAUUGCGAAGGCAGCUUACCAAG